rnacentral:sRNA from 1 species
UCAUCAUAGUCACGUUUUAUUGGCAAAGAGUAAGAAAUUGAAAUAAUAGUAUAAAUUUAGAUCUUUUACUUUAAAAUUACGUGCGCUGGAAUUAGGUGGUGUGUUUGACGCUCUUUAAUGAUGCUAAUAACCAGUGUUUAUUAAAUUAACUACAUCUGAGUCGAAAACGUCGUGGCCUCGGAAUGGUUGCACGAAUAUUCAACAUAAAGAAGGCCUCAAUCACCUUAAAGCGUUUACCCAAUAUCAACGUAAAUGGCCUAGUUUCCAUUCCCAUCGGCAACCAAAUGUACAAGUUGCACUGGAAGCAUACUUGGGCUGGCCCAUUGAGCUCGCCAAUAGAUAACAUGACACCCGACGGGCGCGUGUGAGACCUGGCCACUCGCUACACUGGAGAUUAUGAAAAAGGAAAUAAUCCAAAAGGUUUCUGCGCGCAACCACAUCUACCAGGCUUAUGGACUGUAAUAUAUUCAAUAUCGUCGGUACCUGGAAAUCUAAAAAUGUAAAGUUCAGACAAAUCUGGAUCGAGUUUGUCUAUUUUAAAGGCUUUUAUGAAUCCUUAAAGCCUAAUGUGAGCACAAAAACUGAGGUAAAGUUCUGCGAUUUUGUUUAUACAAAUUUCUAAGAAGGCAAACCCACCCGACUCAGCAGUUUUUCAUAAAAACAUGUUCCUAUUGACUACUUGGGUUUAACUAACAAAGUCUUAAAUUGUGAGCGGACGAAAAAACCGGCGCACAGAAAUUGAGCAAGCGAUCAAAAAGUGAGUGAGUGAGCGAUGAGCCACACUGUUGGGCAUACACACCCGCACAAACACGUGUAUGUGCAGAGAUGAGCCAAGCCCAGAGAUAAGCAGCACCUGUUUGUGUGUGUGUGUUCGCUGCUCACGCUCACGCGCUCUCGAUUCAUUUUGGCGCUGAUCGCUGAUUGGUCCAAUCAAUAAUUGCUGGCAAUCGUGUUCUCGCCUGGUCGUUUGCGGGCAUCAUUACUCUGAGUUAAUUUGGCCCCAUGAGUCAAUCGGGCAUGUUGGUAAACUGUGAGUGAUAGUCUAUUGAGCUCUUUUUUUAACUCGAACUGACUAAAACAUAAUAUAAUAUUAAUUAGCAGCCUGCAGUAGCUGUCAUAUCAUGUGCUUUCGCAAUUGAUGUCUUAUUAUGAUUGUCUUAUGGUUAUUUAGUGCUCACUCUUCUUUUAAUUUGUUUGCAUGUAAAUCGUUAGUAGUUAUCCCGAGCUUAAAAAGUGUAAUAUUUCUAAUUUCUUAUUUAGCCGAGAUACUAACAAAAAAAACCGAAGGGAUUAUAUUGUUUUCUAACGUCAUAUUUCCGAACGGCACAUUAAAAUUCAAAAUAAAUUUUUCAGUUUCUAUUUUUCAGCCAAAUUAGCCAUGGACAGCAUAUGAUCGCUAUUUAUGUUACCUAGUUGACCUAUAUAAUGUUGGUUAUUCCAUAUCAUGGGUAUAGUCAUAGCGUACCCAAAGGACCGAGCGCUCGCAAAAUGCCCAAGAAGUGCGUUGAAAAAUAUGUAUGCUUUUAUUUUACAGCAGCCCGCCCCUGCAUGGUUUCUAGUUGACUAACAUAUCUUUGGUUAUACCAUGCCAUCGAUAUAUCCUUGGGAACCUAAAGGAUCAGAUCCCUGCAAAAUGUGCAUUGAACUGGUCCAAAAACAUGUAUGCUUUUUAUUACAGGAGCCCUUUUACAUUAGCUGCAGCUGUUGUUUAACAGCCGCUUUACAUCACUCGUUUUACAUAAACGCUACUUAACAGUACUCAUUUUAAUUGAGUUACAUUUUUGCCCCUUAUGGCUAUGCAAUAAAAAUUUUUAUUCGAAGAAAUCGUCGAC